rnacentral:rRNA from 1 species
CCUACGGGGGGCAGCAGUCGAGAAUAGUCUACAAUGGUCGAAAGACUGAUAGUGCGACGCCGCGUGAACGAAGACUCCUUUCGGGGUGUAAAGUUCUUUUAUAUGUGAGCAGUGGUUGGUAUAUUAAUAGUAUGCCGACAGGGAUAUUAGCAUAUGAAUAAGCAACGGCUAACUCCGUGCCAGCAGCCGCGGUAACACGGGGGUUGCGAGCGUUGUCCGGAAUUACUAGGCGUAAAGGGCAGGUAGGCGGAGAUGUAAGUUUGAUGUUAAAGGUACUGGCUCACCCAGUGUACGGCAUCAGAUACUGCAUUUCUAGAAUGCGGUUGGGGAAGACAGAAUUCCUGGUGUAGCGGUGGAAUGCGCAGAGAUCAGGAGGAAUACCGAAGGCGAAGGCAGUCUUCUAAGCCGUUAUUGACGCUAAACUGCGAAGGUGUGGGUAUCAAACAGGCUUAGAUACCCUUGUAGUC